rnacentral:rRNA from 1 species
CUUGUUGGUGAGGUAAUGGCUCACCAAGGCGACGACGGGUAGCCGGCCUGAGAGGGCGACCGGCCACACUGGGACUGAGACACGGCCCAGACUCCUACGGGAGGCAGCAGUGGGGAAUAUUGCACAAUGGGCGAAAGCCUGAUGCAGCGACGCCGCGUGAGGGAUGACGGCCUUCGGGUUGUAAACCUCUUUCAGCAGGGAAGAAGCGAAAGUGACGGUACCUGCAGAAGAAGCGCCGGCUAACUACGUGCCAGCAGCCGCGGUAAUACGUAGGGCGCGAGCGUUGUCCGGAAUUAUUGGGCGUAAAGAGCUCGUAGGCGGCUUGUCGCGUCGGUUGUGAAAGCCCGGGGCUUAACC